ensembl:lncRNA
CACGUUCUUCCUCUUUGCUACCGUCCUCCUCUCAGCGCAGGUUUGCCGCUGCUGAAACUAAACAGAGCUCCCUGAAAGGCUCAGCCAAUCACAUUGGCCAUAUUUGUCACAUGAGAAGAAGCGAUCAAAUUAUUGGUGGGGACAUGUCCCCUCCGUCCAUGCCAAAUCGACGCCCUUGGGCAGCAAUAAGAUUCCAUUAGAUGAACCAAGUGAACCGAGGUGCAGUAAUCUCAGCGUGCCUCUGUUCGGAUUUGAAAACAUUGAACACUGCCUCAGAAAACAUUUAGCCUAUUUAUCGCGCAAACAGUGGACGGCAUUAGCCACUGAUGACAUCACCUCGGAUGUCGUCAAUCUGCUGACUAAAAUGUGCCGAGUACUCAUAGAGGACAUUAGCAGCUUAGUGUUUAAAGUCGUACGCCCACAGGUUUUAUGCUGCCCACAUAAUCAUGAUCGUGGAGACAACGAAAGCUCCGAUGACCGGAUGAAUGUUGAACCUCUGGUUGAUGGGUGCAGUUACUGCAGGGUGACAGAGGAUGAUAUUCAGGCCAGCCUCAGAAACAUCUUUGAUAACUGUUUUGGUUGGGUCUUGGGUUUUGGGCAACGGCGGUCUCGUGACUCAGACAAACUACUGACUUUAUUUUCAGUGUCGAUUGCAAAGAAUGUAAACUCAGCCCUGAGUCGUAUCACAGGGUCCACAUCCUUGCAAUCAGAUAGGUCCAGAUCCCCAACAAACCUUGUUGGGAUGGUUUACAGUGUAGUCAACAUUUUAGAAGACUAUGCAAAGACCUUAGCUCCCCUUUCUGUAGAUGGUGAGAGUAGCAGCGACAGCAUUGUUGAAAUGCCAGAGUCUGAGGAAGAUAACGACUUUAAACCAGAGUCUGUAGAGACUUUUAAAAGCACACAGACUCAAGCUUGUGUAGGCAAGGAACGUUUGGUUAACAAGGGCCACAGUGAUACAUUUCAAAUCAUUGAUGUCCAAAAUCUUGACAGUGAGAGCUCAGAGAGUGAUGAAAAAUGUAGUGAUGCCCUG